ensembl:lncRNA
AUCUCACUGGAGAUCCCUGUGUGCCUGAGGCUUUCUGAAGAUUCCUCUCGUUCAUCAGAAUGGUUCAAGAUGCUGGGCAAAAUAAAGUCUGAUAUAUUAUAAUUCAAUGAAAAUUCAAUGUUCUGGCUGAAAAGAAGCUGGUGCAUGAAGAACUUACAGAAGCCAAACUGAGCAGGUUAUUUGAUUCGUACAGCUUGUGGAUUUGCUUUGAUGCUUUUGAAUGUUCUUGUUGAACUCUUUCUAAAGCUUGUGAGCUUCGUCUCUCCAAUUUAACAGGGGAAAUGAAUUCAUAUUCUUCUACUUGGAACACAUAUAGUGUAGUUACGCUCACCUAUAUGACAAGUAGUAACAGCAGUAGAAUGUGACUUGCAACUGUUGUCCGCUUACUGGCUUCAAUUGCUAUUCCAUUUAACAGCUGAAAUAAUGGUAAUAUUGAGACCAGGGCAAUAGCAAUACUCUGAAUUUCCAUAGAGAAAGUACUCAGGGGGUUGAGGGCAGGUUUCUGGAACUGGAUAAUAUCUACUGCUUUACUGAAGAAGGAAAAGCUGACUUCCGCACAACUUAGAAACCAACACCUGAAAACCUGGCAAUUAAUAAGAUUCUGUAUCUGCUUAAUUUUCCUUUCAAUAAGUAUGCAUCAAAUCUUAUUCCUUUCCUUUUGUUGUUUUUGCCUUUGCGGUUUUCCCACUUUCCUUUUCAAAAGUCCACUUUAAAAAAAAAAAAAAGAACUAGUUCAAAACAAACAAAAAACCCCACCCUUUCAGUAGUGCCAAAAUAUGCAUAAAUUCUAUUUAAAUAUUAAAGUCAAGACUUAUUCACAUAUUUAUCAUCCUAUCUUUGCUGCCUUUUCCUAUCACUGCUGUAUUUUGACCAAGUAUGAGAAAUGGAUCUGUUUCUCUUGAUUUGAUAGCUUUGUAGAUAUUAGAUAAGGAAAAAAUCUGUUCAAAUACUUGUUUUUAUCCUUGGUCAGUCUGGAGGUAUACUCUUGAAAGUUUUGUUCACUCUUUAAAAUGUCUCAUAGUGAACAGCAGUGACAUAGACAUUUUACUACAAGAUAAUCAGUACUAUUAAACUCUAGCUAGUAUCUGAUAUUUGUCUUUUUAUUCUAACUUGGAAAGCUGUAUGCCUUUUGAAGGAUACUAGUUCUUCAGUGCGCCGAUUCUUGUCCUAUCUGUAGUUUCACUGUUUCCCUAUCAGUUACCCUACUUAUACUGAUGAAUGCUUUUAAUCUUCAUUAAAAAACAUGUAAUUUCCCUG